GAUUUCUGGUAUUUCGGCCUUGGUCCGCUGCUUUAACGGGCAGUUGUGUUUGCCGAGGUUGGGUGCCAUCCUCCUGGGGUGCCUAGCCUGCCCUUUACUGGGUUGGGCUAGUGUGUUCUGGGACUUUUACUUUGAAAAAAUUAGAGUGUUUAAAGCAGGCUUACGCUUUUGAAUAGAUUAGCAUGGAAUAAUAAUAUAGGACAGGGUCCCUAUUUUGUUGGUUUCUAGGGAUGCUGUAAUGAUUGAUAGGGAUAGUUGGGGGUGCUCGUAUUGAGUGGCCAGAGGUGAAAUUCUUGGAUUCACUCAAGACGAACUACUGCGAAAGCAUU
rnacentral:rRNA from 1 species